ACUCUUCCUUUGUGUAAGUUAUCCUUCCAAGAUAUUACCUUUUAUGUUGGUAUAGGUACACUACCGUAUAGUUAUACAAAGUGUAUAAUUCCCCUGAAUUUUAUUAUGCUCAUUAUUCUAAUUUAUCAUUCCUCAAAAUCAUGGUUAUUCCACUGAAAUCGUGAAAUCUCUAAGUCUUCAUUCAGCGCCAGAACAGACCAAGUUUCACAAUGCUUUCUCUAAAAGGCACACUCUUUGUUUCAAAAAACUGGAAAUUCAAUUGUUCUCUAUCAUUCAAAAUAAAAAAAAAUGUAGUUUUAAAGAGAAUCUACUAGUGUUGCCGGUGACCCCUAAAUAUAAGUUUCCCUGACCUUCCAUAACCCCAGUCCAGCAUUUUUUCAUACAAUUAACUUUAAUACAGGCAAGUUUGACUGGGAAUUGCAUUGGGCAGUUCCUAUCUAUAAUAUGUACUUGCAUGACUGAGGCCAAAAUUAGCUGAAACCUUUACAGGUAAUGACAAUCAGACAAAAGAAAAAGUAUAAAAGCAUGAAAAACACAGCAAUCCCUUCCCUGGCACGGCCCAGCUUUCACAGCCUGGCAACUUUGAGCCUGUUUGCAGGGCCACCUCAUCCACCCUCUGCAAAUCAGAAUAACCUUUUUUGGGAGUAUUUUUGGUAUAAAAUCUUGGUACAGAAUGUCUUGUGUAGAAAAAAAGUGCUUUCUUCUGAUAAUUUUAAAUAUAUUGCCUGCUAAUUUCAUUUUUCAGUUGAUACUUUUUGUGUCAUGACACAAUCACAAUGAAUUUACCUUUCCCCAAUAAUCUGUAAUAUUUGAGACCGUUAACAAGCUACUAAGUUUCUGUCCAGGCUACAGAAUUUCAUUCUAUCUCAUUACUUCUUGUAGAGAAGCUGUUUGAUUCUUCUGCUGUUUGUGUUACUCUUUUGUUCAUGCUUUUCAAGUUCUAUUAUACCACUGCUAAGAGGAGGUGACCAACACCACUAACAAUAAGUGAGGUGCCAGUUCACUUUAGUUGUGCAGUAUCACAGCAAAAUCUGCUUUUUUCAUUAGUUGCCAAGAGUAUUGUGACAUUUGCUGGACUUCAGAUGUCUGAUAUCACCGCAGGGCUGCAGAAUGAUUUCUCAAGCACCUCUGCUUUUAUCUAUCCUAAAAACUCUUCUCUGCUACAAAUCUUCCACCCUCCUUUCCUAAACCACUCAUUCUUCUUAAUGUUACUUGUUCAAAGAAGCCCAAACUGGUGACUCUCUAUUCUCUCUGACUUCCAUGUCCUCCUACCUUUUAAACAACUACAGGAAAACCUCUCACCCUCUAAUUGCUUCAAAAAACUAAAAGACUUAGGCAAAAAAAACUUGUUGAAAGGUUUGUAACAAUCCAUACAGACCAUAUCAACUAACAUAAAGUCCAGUAGACUCUCACCAUUUUGAAUCUGUGACUCACCUCUCUAAUUAACUCUCCCAAAAUAUAUUGAAAUUAUGCAUAUUUUAGUUUCCCUGUAACCUGCUUGACAUGGCAGUCCCUAUUUUCUUAGGAUGGUCUUGCCACCCUCCUCCUGUCUAGUUUUGUGACUCUCUUGUGCCUUAAGAACACUGCACAACAGGUAAGUUUAAUUACCUCAUGCUUGAGCUCCUCUAGAAUUUAGUAAAUGCUUGUGUCUUCCAACUUAACACUAGUCAGUUUAUCAGACUUACUGACAUGCCAGCCAGAGGGUGAACCUGGGGAAUUGUAUCCAUUAAGAUCCUUACCCCCUUUCCCAUUUCCACAGCGAACAGCCUCAGCCUUGCCUUCCAUGGAUGCUGGCAGCAGGUGUUAGAACCCGACACCAUUUGUCCUACAACAAGCAGAGCCGCAGUGAUCUCUCUAUGGAUCAACUUUCUGAUCUGCCCACAGAAACAUUCCACAUUUUUUAGCGUGACAAGGAAACAAGAAAAUAUUUCCUUCAGCAUUUCCAUUUGCAUUUACGGAUCACGCCAAGAUUUGCUGCACCGAGGCCAAAACAAUCCCGGAGAAGCGGAGCCGGCGGAGCUCCCAGCGCCCCGUGACCACGGCGCCCCGUGCACAGGCGGGCACGGUCACGGCUGCGGUCGGUCCCGGAGCUCGGUCACCGCCUGUUCCACGGCCACUGACAACGCGUGAAACCGAACAGCUCCUCGGCUCGCUUCAUCCGCCAGCGCGGCCGGACUCUGUCAUGUUCGAGGAGAUGGUUCAAGCAGUGAAAUUACAUACACCAAGUCUCAUACCAAUUAAGACUUUAACCACUAAUUCCUUAGAAUAAAAGAAAAGCAACCUGAAGUGGAAAUAAGACAGCUUACAUCACGUCCAGCUUCACCAGGAGCACCAUUUGGACCAGGAGAACCCACGGGACCAGAGGGACCACGGGCACCAGGAGGACCAGAAACACCCAGGGGACCAGGUUCACCCUAAUAUAGGAACAGUGAGAUGCCUGGAAGACCACGUUCUCCCCGAGAACCAGGCAGACCAAGAAUACCAGGAGCACCAAGAAUACCCUGAGGACCUGGGGUACCGGGAGGACCCUGUGAUGUGAAG